rnacentral:rRNA from 1 species
UACGUAGGGGGCUAGCGUUGUCCGGAAUCAUUGGGCGUAAAGCGCGUGUAGGCGGUCCGGUAAGUCCGCUGUGAAAGUCGGGGGCUCAACCCUCGGAUGCCGGUGGAGUACUGUCGGGCUUGAGUACGGAAGAGGCGAGUGGAAUUCCGUGGUGUAGCGGUGAAAUGCGCAGAUAUCAGGAGGAACACCAAUUGCGAAGGCAGCUCGCUGGGACGUUACUGACGCUGAGACGCGAAAGCGUGGGGAGCAAACGGGAUUAGACGUACC